AACCAGGGCACGGGGCGUGUCGGGGCUGAUUUUCUGGCUGUGUGGGGCGCACGGUCCCGGGAUACUGGGGACGGCGGGGUGGGAGGGCGCCGUCCUGGGGCCGCGGCGGCCGGGCGGGGGAGAUGGCGGCGCGAUGGAGCAGCGAAAACGUGGUUGUAGAGUUUCGUGACUCCCAGGCAACUGCGAUGUCUGUGGACUGUCUUGGGCAGCAUGCAGUGCUUUCUGGCCGCAGAUUCUUAUACAUCGUCAAUCUAGAUGCCCCUUUCGAAGGUCACCGAAAGAUCUCUCGCCAGAGCAAAUGGGACAUUGGAGCUGUGCAGUGGAAUCCUCAUGACAGCUUUGCACACUAUUUUGCGGCUUCGAGUAACCAACGAGUAGACCUUUACAAGUGGAAAGACGGCAGUGGGGAAGUUGGCACAACCUUACAAGGCCACACUCGUGUCAUCAGCGACUUGGACUGGGCGGUGUUUGAGCCUGACCUCCUGGUUACCAGCUCUGUGGACACCUACAUCUACAUUUGGGAUAUCAAAGACACAAGGAAACCUACUGUUGCACUGUCUGCUGUUGCGGGUGCCUCCCAGGUCAAAUGGAAUAAAAAAAAUGCUAACUGCCUUGCCACCAGCCAUGACGGCGAUGUGCGGAUAUGGGAUAAGAGGAAACCCAGUACAGCAGUGGAAUAUCUAGCCGCCCACCUCUCCAAAAUCCAUGGCCUGGACUGGCACCCAGACAGCGAGCACAUUCUUGCUACCUCCAGUCAAGACAAUUCUGUGAAGUUCUGGGAUUACCGCCAGCCUCGGAAAUACCUCAAUAUUCUUCCUUGCCAGGUGCCUGUCUGGAAGGCCAGAUACACACCUUUCAGUAAUGGAUUGGUGACCGUGAUGGUUCCCCAGCUGCGGAGGGAAAACAGCCUUCUCCUGUGGAAUGUCUUUGACUUGAACACCCCAGUCCACACCUUCGUGGGGCAUGAUGAUGUGGUGCUGGAGUUCCAGUGGAGGAAGCAGAAGGAAGGGUCCAAGGACUAUCAACUGGUGACGUGGUCCCGGGAUCAGACCUUGAGAAUGUGGCGGGUGGAUUCCCAGAUGCAGAGGCUUUGUGCAAAUGACAUAUUAGAUGGUGUCGAUGAGUUCAUUGAGAGUAUUUCCCUUCUGCCGGAACCUGAGAAGACCCUGCACGCUGAAGAUACAGAUCACCAGCACAAUGCAAGCCAUGGGGAGGAAGAAGCCCUAAAAGAAGAUCCCCCUAGAAAUCUCCUGGAAGAGAGGAAAUCAGAUCAACUGGGGCUGCCUCAGACCUUGCAGCAGGAAUUCUCCCUGAUCAAUGUGCAAAUCCGGAAUGUCAAUGUGGAGAUGGAUGCGGCAGACAGGAGCUGCACAGUGUCUGUGCACUGCAGCAACCAUCGUGUCAAGAUGCUGGUGAAGUUCCCUGCGCAGUACCCAAACAACGCCGCCCCUUCCUUCCAGUUUAUUAACCCCACAACCAUCACAUCCACCAUGAAAGCUAAGCUGCUGAAGAUCCUGAAGGACACAGCCCUGCAGAAAGUGAAGCGUGGCCAGAGCUGCCUGGAGCCCUGCCUGCGCCAGCUCGUCUCCUGCCUCGAGUCCUUUGUGAACCAGGAAGACAGCGCUUCCAGCAACCCGUUUGCACUCCCCAACUCUGUCACACCCCCCUUACCGACGUUUGCGCGGGUGACCACGGCUUACGGGUCAUACCAGGACGCCAACAUUCCCUUUCCUAGGACUUCUGGGGCCAGGUUCUGCGGAGCAGGUUACCUGGUGUAUUUCACAAGGCCCAUGACGAUGCAUCGGGCGGUGUCUCCCACAGAGCCUACUCCGAGAUCUCUCUCAGCCUUGUCUGCUUAUCACACUGGCUUGAUCGCGCCCAUGAAGAUCCGCACAGAGGCCCCUGGGAACCUUCGUUUAUACAGUGGGAGCCCCACUCGCAGCGAGAAAGAGCAGGUCUCCAUCAGCUCCUUCUACUACAAGGAGCGGAUGUCUCCUCGCUCUGCCCGGCGGCGUUGGUCCAUACAAGCAAUUAACGACUUCCCGAAAUCAAGACGAUGGAAAAGUAAGCGUGAGGGAUCAGACUCUGGCAAUCGACAGAUCAAGGCUGCUGGGAAAGUCAUCAUCCAGGAUAUUGCUUGCCUCCUGCCUGUUCACAAAUCGCUGGGAGAGCUGUACAUAUUGAAUGUGAAUGAUAUUCAGGAAACAUGUCAGAAGAAUGCCGCCUCUGCCUUGCUCGUUGGAAGAAAGGAUCUCGUCCAGGUUUGGUCGCUGGCUACGGUAGCUACAGAUCUUUGCCUUGGUCCGAAAUCUGACCCAGAUUUGGAAACACCCUGGGCUCGACAUCCAUUUGGGCGGCAGCUGCUGGAGUCCCUGUUGGCUCACUAUUGCCGGCUCCGGGAUGUUCAGACACUGGCGAUGCUCUGUAGCGUGUUUGAAGCCCAGUCUCGGCCUCAGGGGCUACCAAACCCCUUUGGGCCUUUUCCCAACCGUUCUUCUAAUCUUGUGGUGUCCCAUAGUCGAUAUCCUAGCUUUACCUCUUCUGGUUCCUGCUCCAGUAUGUCAGACCCAGGGCUCAACACUGGUGGCUGGAACAUAGCGGGAAGAGAGGCAGAGCACUUGUCCUCCCCUUGGGGAGAAUCCUCACCAGAAGAGCUCCGCUUUGGGAGUCUGACCUACAGUGAUCCCCGUGAGCGAGAACGCGACCAGCAUGAUAAAAAUAAAAGAAUCUUACCCGGUCACUAGGUUGGAGUGGAGUGGCGGGAUCUCGGCUCUCUGCAACCUCUGCUUCCCAGGCUCAAGUGAUUCUCCUGCCUCAGCCUCCUGAGUAGCUGGGAUUACAGGCACACGCCACCAUGACUGGCUAAUUUUUUGUAUUUUUAGUACAGACAGGGUUUCACCAUGUUGGCCAGGCUGGUCUCAAACUCCUGACCUCAAGUGAUCCACCCGCCUCAGCCUCCCAAAGUGCUGGGAGUGACAGGUGUGAGCCACCGUGCCUGGCCAGGACUGUUGCUUCAAGAAGGGUAUAUUAAGUGCCAUUUAGGAUGAAGCUUGUUUUUUCUUAAAGGAACUGACAGGAAAUCUUUUUAACUUUAUCCAGGCUCCUGGACCCCGCCAAUACCCAGCAAUUUGAUGACUUUAAGAAAUGCUAUGGGGAAAUCCUCUACCGUUGGGGUCUGAGAGAGAAGCGAGCUGAAGUGUUGAAGUUUGUCUCCUGUCCUCCUGACCCUCACAAAGGGAUCGAGUUCGGCGUGUACUGCAGCCACUGCCGGAGUGAGGUCCGUGGCACGCAGUGUGCCAUCUGCAAAGGCUUCACGUUCCAGUGUGCCAUCUGUCACGUGGCUGUGCGGGGAUCGUCCAAUUUCUGCCUGACCUGUGGGCACGGUGGCCACACCAGCCACAUGAUGGAGUGGUUUCGGACCCAGGAGGUGUGUCCCACUGGGUGUGGGUGCCACUGCCUGCUUGAAAGCACUUUCUGAACCUACAGACCUUGGGUAUUGUCUGAAAUCCCAGAGGACCCAUAAGUGCCGGUGACAAGCUGUCUGUCAGGGGAGAGGCUCCAGAACCUGGGUUCGUCCCCAGUGAGACCGGAGGAUGAUCCCCCAAGGACUGCGCAGCAUCAGCUCUUGGCGGGCCUCUGCCUUCUCUUCUGUUUGGCCACCUGGUGUGGAUGUCACUGUGUGAAGAUAAGGACAGAAGUGCAGAGCUGCGCUUUGUGUGUUGUCUAUGUCGGCUGAGCUACCAAGGUGGAAGUUUUCAUGGAGAAAAGCACCUGGCUCCAGGGCCAGUGUUACAGUGUUACCCUGUAAGGUGUUAGCCUUAAACCACCGAGCAGCGUUCUCUUGAUGCCAGUGCAGAGACCAGAGUCAGAUGCCUGAGGACAGUGGGUAGGAAUUUCAUCAACAAAUGGACCUAUGGCAUCAUGGCUUUAGAAGCUGGUACAUUUACUGAGCUGAUGGACAGUGGCCUUCUAAAAUAUGACACUUAAAUUGUAAAUAUGCACUGUACUUAAGGAUUCUUAAGAUGUAUUUUUUUGUUAUUUCUCCUCCAGCUGCUAUCCCUUGGCUAAUACAAUUCUAGUAAUUAUUUGAAAAAAAAAAGAGAGAAAGUUAAACAACA